GCCUGUAUGGCGAAGCGGUAACGGUCUUUUCUCUGAAUUGCCUUCCCGAGGUAUCCUGGGUUCAAAUCCCGGGAUGUGCA